rnacentral:rRNA from 1 species
UACGUAGGGAGCAAGCGUUGUCCGGAAUCAUUGGGCGUAAAGCGCGCGUAGGUGGCCUCGUAAGUCCGCUGUGAAAGUCCAGGGCUCAACCCUGGAAUGCCGGUGGAUACUGUCGGGCUUGAGUACGGAAGAGGCGAGUGGAAUUCCUGGUGUAGCGGUGAAAUGCGCAGAUAUCAGGAGGAACACCAAUUGCGAAGGCAGCUCGCUGGGACGUUACUGACGCUGAGACGCGAAAGCGUGGGGAGCAAACAGG